GAUUUCUGUUACCAUGGUGCUGUCAUUUGCCUCUCAUAAUUAUCUUUCACUCACCCUUGUCCUGCUACCUUCAAUUUUUGGUCUUUACCUAGAAGAUCCUACACCUCUUCUCUGUAGUUGUCCUAUUUAAUAAGAAUUCCUGAAUUGGCUGCUGAAGUUUGCAGACAGUAAAAGGCCUUUUGAGGCAUUGGUGAUUCAGAAAAAAAAAAGUACUUUGGUCCUUCGAGAUAACUCUGGAUAUUUAAUUUUUUGAUCUCCUCAUCACUAGCAGAAGGUAUGAUAAGUUUCAGAGACUGUUAUAGGAUU